rnacentral:tmRNA from 1 species
GGGGCUGAUUCUGGAUUCGACGGGAUUUGCGAAACCCAAGGUGCAUGCCGAGGGGCGGUUGGCCUCGUAAAAAGCCGCAAAAAAUAGUCGCAAACGACGAAAACUACGCUUUAGCAGCUUAAUAACCUGCUUAGAGCCCUCUCUCCCUAGCCUCCGCUCUUAGGACGGGGAUCAAGAGAGGUCAAACCCAAAAGAGAUCGCGUGGAAGCCCGGCCUGGGGUUGAAGCGUUAAAACUUAAUCAGGCUAGUUUGUUAGUGGCGUGUCCGUCCGCAGCUGGCAAGCGAAUGUAAAGACUGACUAAGCAUGUAGUACCGAGGACGUAGGAAUUUCGGACGCGGGUUCAACUCCCGCCAGCUCCACCA